AACGAACGCUGGCGGCAUGCCUAACACAUGCAAGUCGAACGAGACCUUCGGGUCUAGUGGCGCACGGGUGCGUAACGCGUGGGAACCUGCCCUUAGGUUCGGAAUAACUCCCCGAAAGGGGUGCUAAUACCGGAUAAUGUCUUCGGACCAAAGAUUUAUCGCCUUUGGAUGGGCCCGCGUUGGAUUAGCUAGUUGGUAGGGUAAAAGCCUAAAAAGGCGACGAUUCAUAGCUGGUAUAAGAGGAUGAUCAGCAACACUGGGACUGGGACACGGCCCAGACUCCUACGGGUGGCAGCAGUGGGGACUAUUGGACAAUGGGCGAAAGCCUGAUGCAGCAAUGCCGCGUGAGUGAUGAAGGCCGUAGGGUUGUAAAGCUCUUUUACCCGGGAUGAUAAUGAGAGUACCAGGAGAAUAAGCUCCGGCUAACUCCGU
rnacentral:rRNA from 1 species